rnacentral:pre_miRNA from 1 species
GAGAUACUCCCUCCGUCCGGAAAUACUUGACAUCAAAAUGGAUAAAAGAGGAUGUAUCUAGACAUAUUUUAGUUAUAGAUACAUCUCUUUUUAUCUAUUUUGAUGACAAGUAUUUUUGGACGGAGGGAGUACUAC